ACCUGGUUGGCUCAGUCGGUAGAGCACACGUCUCUUAAUCUUGGGGUCAUGAGUUUGAGUUCCAUGCUGGGCA
rnacentral:tRNA from 1 species